UCUUCCACUCAGUUUGGGGAUUUCAAGGGCGAGGACAUCGCCCACAGCGCUGUGGACCGAUGGAGGUUGGCCCUCUGCUCACAAGGAGGCACAGGAAGGCAGAAUAUCACAGUCUCAGGACUGCGGGCUCCUGUGGGAGGCAGAGUCCUUAGGUUGGUUGGAUUCUGCUGGUCUGAAGGCAUGGAGAUCGCCUGGGAAGAGAAAACCUGGGGCAGCCCGCGUCUACAUGGCAGCUGGUCAGGGCAGGACAGUGCACAGACCCUCAACAAGUGAAGCCAGUCAAAACACUUCCCCUGACAAAACCAGUGGAAUAGUGUGUUUGUAAAACCGAUGGCGUUUUUGUUGACAGGCAAAUGUCUACAUCGCAUGGCAACAAACGGCUGGAAGAUGCAAAAAUGCAGUCAAUCAUCAGGGAUUUCUUUUCCCGCCUCUCUUUAAAAAAGAAAAGCUCUCCCACCACCAUACAGGAUGAGUGAUGUCUGCAUGGUGUUUGAAGAUCUUCCUCCCUGAUCAAGCAAGUUCCUGAGGCUCAGUCUGGAGACCCAGGGGCAGCCCAAGUCUGACUGAACCAAACAGGGCAGGGUUGUCAGGAUCUUCUCAGGAAGUGGGGAUUGGCUCUGAAUUUCCCACUGACUUUGAGAAAUGCAGCAUUCUUCAAACUCUGAUGUGCUUAGAACCUCCUGUAUUAGCUGGUGAGAAUGCAGAUAGCCAGGCCUCAGCUCCAAGAUUCUGAUUCGGCAGUUUGGGGAGAAUGGCCCCAGGGCACCAGUAUUUUUAAUACCCGUUUACCACUUCCCAGAGAUGCUGAUCUGGGUGUUUCUGGGGCCACUCUGAAAAACACACAGUAUUGAGCAAAGACUCUAUGUCUGCCAUUCCCUUGACCCAGCAUCCUCCUGGUCAUGCAUCUGGGCUCCGCUGGGCUAGGUCUCCAAGAAGCCAUCUCUGGCUCUCUCUCCUGGGAUAAAUCAUCCUUGUAACGAUCCUAUUUCUACCCUCCCACCCCACCCUCCCAUUUUUUCCCGGCUCUGUCUUUUAGAGCCACACAAGGGAUGUCUGAUGUUUGAUUCCUCUACCUGAUAGCAGUCUUUUCAAUUCGUAAGCCUUUGGUUCAUUUGUUCAUUCAUUCAUUUAUCGAGUCUUAUGGAACACCUACUGCAUGACAGUGGCUGGGGAGAAUAGCAUGUACAAAGGUCCUGGAGCAGGUAAGGCCAGGGAGUGUUCAAGGCAUGGGCAGAAGGCCUAUGUGGCUAGAGUAGAGUGAGUGAAGGCAGAGACCAUGGGAUAGCCGGAGGCUAUGACAGAGUUUGGUCUGUAUUCUGAAUCUGAUGGGAAGAUUUUGGAGGGUGUUAUGGUUAGAGUUUAAAGAGUUCAAAGGAGAGCAUUCUUUGGCUCAAAUAUCUUUUGGCAGGCAAAGCAAUAUAAUUUUACCCAUUUCCUGGGAAACUUCCAGUAAAUGUGGCCAUUGCUAUUGAAUAUGACUUAGACCUUAGAUGCUACCUCCUCUAGGAAGCCUUCUUUGCUUUUGAUCUGGUAGCUUUAGAUGCACCUCCACCAAAGUAUUGGUGAUGGUAAUACCAUAAUAUACUAAUAUUUGUGGAAUUGUCACACCCCAGCCCAUUUUUCAGGAUGGCAGACCCCAUGCAGGUUCAAACUUGUCUUCCAUCUGUGUCUCCUCAGAAGCUUCCUUAACCUUCCCCUGCCUCAGUUUCUCCUAAUGGGUUACUGUGAUGCCUGGCAAGAGGAUGUCCAUGAUGGAGUUCCCUUCGUGGCUCAGCGGUUAACUACGAUCCAGAAGGAUGCGGGUUCGAUCCCUGGCCUUGCUUAGUGGGUUGAGGAUCUGGCAUUGCCAUGAGCUGUGGUGUAGGUCACAGACAUAACUUGGAACCCACAUUGCUGUGGCUCUGGUGUAGGCUGGCAGCUGCAGAUCCUAUUUGACCCCUAGCCUGGGAACUUCCUUAUGCCCCAGGUACAACCCUAAAAAGAGAAAAAAAAGGGGGUGCCCACAAACUGCUCAGCAAGGGCAUGGUACACAGUGAUGCUGCUAGGUUGGCUGGACUUUUAUAUUAGAGGAUAUCUGUUGGAUGAUGGGUUGGGGGGAAACCCCCACUCUACCCACUGCCCAAUGUCUAACAGGAGUUUGGCUCAUCUAACUCUCCAGCAUUGGCUAGGGAUGUGUUUAGAUUUGCCCUUUGGCUGUUUUUUCAAUUUCUCAGAUUUAAUGUUGGCAGGAUACACUCAUACACUUUGGGGGUCCAUGUAGGAAGUUAUGGCCCCCUGGCCCCCUUAUGGUGAGACAACUGAAAGGAGCUGGGAGGGGGUCUAGGGCUGGGGAGUAAAUGACUUCUGGGGCUUGAUUCCCUGGUUGAAAGUGUAGGAUGACAUGUCCCCUGGGAGCGGACAGAGUGCAGAACAUUUAGUCUCCAACGUGAUGUCCAGAGCUUGGUUUGCUCUAUAUCCAUCUGUCCAUCCAUUGGAAAAAUAUUCACCAAGCCCUGACUGUGUUUGGCACUGAGGACCCAGUAGUGAACCAUGCAGACACCAUCCUGCUCUCUCCUUCCUCUCUCUUGCACCAAAUUUCCAGACCCCUUGUAGCAUCAUCUGUAUCACCAUCCUUCUCCUCCUUUCCUUUCUCUAACUGGCAACUACGAAUUAUGCAACUACUAAGAUAAAAUGUAUAGUGAUUAAGGGUAUAAUCUCUGGAUUAGGAGGGCCAGGCCUUGAAUCCCACCUCUGCCACUAGAUAUGUGGCCUCGGACAAGUCCCUUUCCUGCCCUGAGCUUUGCUUUCUCUAUCUCUAAUGUCAGAGGGUUAUUCUGAGGUUCAGUAAGAUAGACUUUGGCAAUGUCAUCUAUUUCAAUACUAAUGGGGUGAAUCUGGGACACUUUAGAAGCCAGGAAGAAACUUGCUCUUCCUAGUAGUAGAGCUCCUGAUGACUUGCUAAGAGCAGGUGAAGAGCUGUGAACAGUGGCUUUCAUUUUAUUUAGUCAUCAGAGGAACUUUGCAAGAAUGCGUCUCACGUAUGUAUUGCUGAGGAGGAAUCAAGGCACAGGAACAAGUAAUUUCAUGAAGUGUGCAUCUGAGCCUUCUCUCCUGAGACCAAGCUGCACUCCCAUUGGAGUCUACAACAUUCUUGGGACCACAAACUUCUGGUUCCUAAGAACUUUUGCUGGAUGGAUCUUGUUAACUGCCCUCUCUGCUCCUUAGUAUUCCUGCCAGGCCUAUCUGGCUGAGAAGCCCCAUUCAUUAGACAGUUGUAUUCAUAAUCCAGAUACUUCUUCCAGGUAGUUUUUUUGAGGGGGUUUUAAUGGAUGUUGAGAAUUUGUUCUCAUUAAAGCCCUGGGAAACAUGAGCUUUGGUCCUAGAGCAUUUGGCUUAUGCUUAACACCAUAGACGCUAAAAUUUGCUUCUUUUUGAUUUAGUCUCUUGCUAGCUUGAAGGACUGGAUUUUAUAACAGGUCAAUUUCAGACCAUUUGAUAUUGAUAUAUGAAGAUCCUUAGGGAUUAUUGAAUGCAUUUUUCAUCCAGCUGCGAUAGUAUCAUAUAAGGAAAAUGGGAUUGACUGUUAAGUACAAAUUGAAAAAGACAUGGUCAUUUAAGAUAACUCCUUAUCUGUAUACAAGGAAAUAGUAUCAGGGAAAUAGACCACCAGUUGACAGAAAUAAAUUUCACCUUGGGUUCCUCC